rnacentral:lncRNA from 1 species
CUUAAAUACUCAUCAUUUAAGAUUUUUCAGGGAAAAUCUGAAAAUUUGUUCAAAAUGCAAACUUUCAAAUCGUCUACUGAAUUUUCAAAACAAUAAGGCUGUCUCAUCAUAUAUGGAAAAACAGCAAAAAGAAGGAUACAGAGAAAAAGAGAAGGAACAGGAACAGGAGGGAACAGGAAAGAUAUCAGUGAGACAGAAAACUAGAAAUCAUAUGGUGCUUUUCUCCACAUUUGUCACCAAACAGUUGAAAUCCCCAGACAUUUUAGACAAUGGAAGACAUUGUGUUUCCAUCAGUCUUUCUUCAGUGUAUUUCUUCUGUGUUACCAUGGAGACUGGAGGAAAACAGCACAUUGGUAUUAACAUAGAGGAACUGCUGUUUUCUUUCCAGGAAGAGCAUAAGCACUGAAGUUUUUCUUCCUUCUUGUGCUGCAUUUACCUUCAGCUCCUUGAGCCCCAACAAGUGAGAGUGAGAGCGCC